GCACACUUAGCUCAGUGGCUAGAGCAUUCGGUUUACAUCCGAAGGGUCGGGGGUUCAAAUCCCUCAGUGUGCA
rnacentral:tRNA from 1 species